CCAGUUCCAUGAUGUAACGUGACAAUUUUACAACGCGCAUGCAGCGGCAGCGGUUACUUCCGCUCCUGAAGUUAUAUCACUCGUUUUGAGAGAAAAACGUAUCGCUCAAAACAAUACCUUCCGAGGAGCUCAAUAAACAGACGUCAUCUCCGUCACAUUUCUCCAACUUUCUGAGAGAAAAUAAAAGGAGCGCAGAUGGAACGUAAAAAUUGUAACGUUACGCGUAUCCUCGAUGAAAAUCGACUCGAUUCCACGCCCGACGAAAAAUUGCGAUGAUAUCUCCCCGCUGUACGUUCUUGCCGCACAUCUUGCAAGCCAACGAUCCGGCCUUCGCUCGAUAUUAUUAAAUUCACUUUUCGAGAAGAUAAACCACUCGAGAGGAUAAAUCGCAGUUAAGUUAUUGCAAACUGCAUACGUUUGGUCAUCAUCCGCGGUCUCAUAGGAAAUCAUGAUGCCGGUAGAAAGGUGUUGGCGAACAAAUACGAAAUAAUGCGAGUCAUAAAAAUUUACGCGACCUCUGGGACGCGAAUUUCAGUAGAAAAGCAAGAUUGAACAAUAUCGAGUCGUCGAUAUGGAUGAAAAUGUGUUUUAUCUAUAAAUCCAGAAUAAAAAGUAAAAUUUUUAAGACGCUGAAUCUUCUAGUCUAGAAAAUAUCAAAUAAAAAUUUUGUGCUCAUGGGAACUUGAAGAAUAUUCAUCGCCGCC